UGAAUACGAGAUGCUACGGCAUUGAAGCAGUCUAUGUCAGACUUCCAAGAAAAGCUCGCAAUGUCAUAAACAAUUAAUGCCUGUACCAUAACCGACACAGGUGGGUAGGUAGAGUAUACUAAGGGGCGCGAGAUAACUCUCUCUAAGGAACUCGGCAAAAUGACUCCGUAACUUCGGGAGAAGGAGUGCCUUAUUUUAUAAGGUUGCAAUAACAAGAUCCAAGCAACUGUUUACCAAAAACACAGGUCUCCGCUAAGUCGUAAGACGAUGUAUGGGGGCUGACGCCUGCCCAGUGCCAGAAGGUUAAAGAAGUUGGUUAGCCUAGCGAAGCUGAUGACUGAAGCCCUGGUGAACGGCGGCCGUAACAAUAACGGUCCUAAGGUAGCGAAAUUCCUUGUCGGGUAAGUUCCGACCCGCACGAAAGGCGUAAUGAUUUGGAUACUGUCUCGGAGAGGGGCUCGGUGAAAUAGACUUGUCUGUGAAGAUGCGGACUACCUGCACCUGGACAGAAAGACCCUAUGAAGCUUUACUGUAACUUGAGAUUGAAAUUGGACUUUAUUUGCGCAGUAUAGGUGGGAGACGUUGAGAAUAUUCUUGCGGGAAUAUUGGAGUCAUCAGUGAGAUACCACUCUUGUAAUGUUAGAUUUCUAACUUUGAAUCAUUAUCUGGUCAAAGAACAGUCUCAGGCGGGCAGUUUGACUGGGGCGGUCGCCUCCUAAACGGUAACGGAGGCGCACAAAGGUUUCCUCUGAACGUGUAGAAAUCGUAUCUAGAGUGUAAAGGCAUAAGGAAGCUUGACUGUGAGACCUACAAGUCGAGCAGGGACGAAAGUCGGUCUUAGUGAUCUGACGGUGCUGAGUGGAAAGGCCGUCACUCAACGGAUAAAAGUUACUCUAGGAUAACAGGCUGAUCUCCCCCAAGAGUUCACAUCGACGGGGAGGUUUGGCACCUUGAUGUCGGCUCAUCGCAUCCUGGGGCGGUAGUACGUCCCAAGGGUUGGGCUGUUCGCCCAUGAAAGCGGUACGCGAGCUGGGUUCAGAACGUCGUGAGACAGUUCGGUCCAUAUCCGGUGUAGGCGUUAGAAUAUUGAGAGGAGCCUUCUUUAGUACGAGAGGACCGAGAAGGACAUACCUCUGGUGUACCAGUUAUCGUGCCAACGGUAAACGCUGGGUAGCUAUGUAUGGAGUGGAUAACCGCUGAAAGCAUCU
rnacentral:rRNA from 1 species